AUUGAACGCUGGCGGCAUGCCUUACACAUGCAAGUCGAACGGCAGCACGGGGGCAACCCUGGUGGCGAGUGGCGAACGGGUGAGUAACAUAUCGGAACAUACCCUAGAGUGGGGGAUAACGUAGCGAAAGUUACGCUAAUACCGCAUACGAUCUAAGGAUGAAAGUGGGGGAUCUUCGGACCUCAUGCUCAUGGAGUGGCCGAUAUCUGAUUAGCUAGUUGGUGAGGUAAAGGCUCACCAAGGCGACGAUCAGUAGCUGGUUUGAGAGAACGACCAGCCACACUGGAACUGAGACACGGUCCAGACUCCUACGGGAGGCAGCAGUGGGGAAUUUUGGACAAUGGGCGCAAGCCUGAUCCAGCCAUGCCGCGUGAGUGAUGAAGGCCUUAGGGUUGUAAGACUCUUUUGUUCCGGGAAGGAUAAUGACUGUACCGGAAGAAUAAGCCCGGCUAACUUCGUGCCAGCAGCCGCGGUAA
rnacentral:rRNA from 1 species